CCCGAGGCCUCGUGGUUGUCCUGGGCCUGGCUGGGCUGCUGCGGAACACGUCCUUAAAGCGACACACAUGUCUGCGCUGGCAGCGAGCGGUCCAGGAAAUGCUGAGUCUCCAGGCGCUCUGCGUCCUCCACAUGACGGACGGCGGUUUCCUGCUCCGGGAGCGAGCCAGCUCCGGAGACACUCAGGGGGGCAGGGCGGGCCCCGGCCCAGCCACACGUGUCCUGCGUGGCAUGCGCUGGCCUCCUGGUGCUGAGCCACGCUCCCCGGCUGGCCGUUCAUCGAGGAAACUUACAAAUGUUCAAACUCGAGCCUCCAGUUAGAGCAAACCACACGUUUUUCAGAAUAAAAUACUUUUGCUUUACGAUUUUAUUUGUGAUUAUUGCUUGGACGCGAAGCUCCUCGGCUGUGCCCGGGCGUCCCCCCGGUGACCAGUGUCUGCGCCCUCGGGCUCCGCCUUGGCCUCUCCGCUCAGGGUUCUCCAGGACCCAGGGCAGAUCCCCCUCCUGCUGCGAGGUUGCACACACCUCCCUCUCCGCCCGCCAGGUGAUGCCGGCUCUCGGCUGCCGUGGGACGCCCUGCAGUGGUGUGUGCCCAGACUGGGCAGGUUCCAAGGAAAGUGAGCCCCGCCCGGCGUCUUGCUCCAGGCUGGACCAGGGCCGCGGCCCCUGCGGCUCCCGUCCAGGUGUCUGCGCCGCACCUGCGGAGUUUAACGGCGAUGUUGUCCUCGGGUUCCUGUUGGAUGCCACUGGGGGCUCCCUCAUUCGUCCGAUGUGUGGGCGUGCAUCUUCCACGCUGGAGUGGUUUUUGGCCGUGAUAUUUUUGCCACGCUUCCUGGGGUCCUGCUGCGACCUCAGCGAUGUGCCUGCUGCACCCUCUGCCGUCGUCCCCAGUCCCCGGGGCCCCUGCAUCUUUAACCCAGUUCACGUUGUCGCUCAGGUCGGGCAGAAUCCCUGCUCUGUGCCCUUCGCUGGCCACCCCUGCCCGUCCCUGCUGAGCCGCUGCGGUCCGUGGCCCUGGGAGUGGGUCCUCCUGUCUGACGGCUGCCUGGUUACCUUGUGACUCCUGCUCCUCCUGCG
rnacentral:lncRNA from 1 species